AAACUUUCAACAAUGGAUCUCUUGGCUCUCGCAUCGAUGAAGAACGCAGCGAAAUGCGAUAAGUAAUAUGAAUUGCAGAAUUCCGUGAAUCAUCAAAUCUUUGAACGCAAAUUGCACUUCUUGGUAUUCCGAGGAGUACACAUGCUUGAGGGUCAGU
rnacentral:rRNA from 1 species